rnacentral:sRNA from 1 species
ACUAAUUAGAACCACAGGGGCCGGGGUGACCCGCCCUCCCGAUUGACGAACUGAAGCUCGGACAGACUAUGCGUUGGGUGGUCGUUCCCCACCCGACGUGAAAGUACCCCGCUUACGCUCAGGCAAAGACCUGCACGGGGUACAGGCUUCUCAUCAAUCUUCGAGGGUAGCGCGACUUGCUACCCUCACUUUUU